UAAGGUGGACCAAAGACUAAAAACGCCACAUCGUGUGGCAACGUCUUCGUGACCCUACGACGUGUAGG
rnacentral:sRNA from 1 species